rnacentral:misc_RNA from 1 species
GUGAAAUUCAAUUACUCUACAAUGAAAUUACUUUCCAACAUAUAAAUACGAUAUGAUGUAUCUUAUACUAAAUCCUAGUUCUAAUUUUAUAGGCCACAGGAUGUCUACCUUUUAGGAAAGUAUUCUUAGGACCUCAAAAUGCAUUUUAGAUGCAUUAAGAGCAUGACAACCUAGCACCAUGUUCCCAGUUGAUUCAUUUUCAAAUACAUGUUAAUGCAAUUAUGAUAAGGAAAUUGAAAAAUGGAAGAAGGUGCUGCAAAGAUUAGUAAAAUCAGUUGUCAAUGUUCCAGGAUGUAGGAGAUUUGAUCUUGCAUGCUAGGAAUUGAGAGAUUUAAGGUAUAGGGAGACUUACUCCUAUUGUGUAAUGUAGCCAUUGGAUCAAAAACAAAAAAGAAAAUGCUGAAAAAUUGGAGUUGAUUUGGGUUAGCAUGAUUUUAGGGAUUACCAUAUUUUUAUAGAUUUGUUUGUUUUAUAUCACUUAAUUAGGGCAUUAUUUUAGGAUAAUAGCCUACUUUAUAGGUUUUAUUCUUUUUUAGUUAUUUUCCUUUUUUAGAAGUCUUGUAUAUAUAGCCUAGGAUGUAAUAAACAAAUAUAUGAAAUAGAGAAGCCAACAACUCUCUUUCUCUUCUUGAUCUCUUUUUCUUACCACAUAAGAAAAAUAUGGCAUAAAAGUAUGCAAUUGAUUUUGGUGCAAAUUAUGUUGCAAGUUAUGACCACAUCCACUAGAGAGUGCAUGUAGUGCCCAUUGGGGAUAAAAUGAGGGAGAGUCGAUCAAGAUGAUUUGCUCAUGUCCAAAGCAGAGCAUUGAAUGCCCUAAUGCAGAGGUGUGACAAGUUAGUAGUGGAAGGAGUGAGAAGGGAAAGGCGAGACCUAAAAUGACAUGGAGGGA